rnacentral:rRNA from 1 species
AACGAACGCUGGCGGCAUGCCUAACACAUGCAAGUCGAACGAGACCUUCGGGUCUAGUGGCGCACGGGUGCGUAACGCGUGGGGACCUGCCCUUAGGUUCGGAAUAACUCCCCGUAAGGGGUGCUAAUACCGGAUGAUGUCAUCGGACCAAAGAUUUAUCGCCUUUGGAUGGGCGCGCGUUAGAUUAGCUAGUUGGUAGGGUAAAAGCCUACCAAGGCGACGAUCCAUAGCUGGUCUGAGAGGAUGAUCGGCCACACUGGGACUGAGACACGGCCCAGUCUCCGACGGGAGGCAGCGGUGGGGAAUAUUGGAGAAUGGGCGAAAGCCUGAUCCAGCCAUGCCGCGUGAGUGAUGAAGGCCUUAGGGUUGUAAAGCUCUUUUACCCGGGAUGAGAAUGACAGUACCGGGAGAAUAAGCUCCGGCUAACUCCGUG